GAUGAACGCUGGCGGCGUGCCUAAUACAUGCAAGUCGAGCGAACAGACGAGGAGCUUGCUCCUCUGACGUUAGCGGCGGACGGGUGAGUAACACGUGGAUAACCUACCUAUAAGACUGGUAUAACUUCGGGAAACCGGCGCUAAUACCGGAUAAUAUAUUGAACCGCAUGGUUCAAUAGUUAAAGACGGUUUUGCUGUCUCUUAUAGAUGGAUCCGCGCCGCAUUAGCUAGUUGGUAAGGUAACGGCUUACCAAGGCAACGAUGCGUAGCCGACCUGAGAGGGUGAUCGGCCACACUGGAACUGAGACACGGUCCAGACUCCUACGGGAGGCAGCAGUAGGGAAUCUUCCGCAAUGGGCGAAAGCCUGACGGAGCAACGCCGCGUGAGUGAUGAAGGUCUUCGGAUCGUAAAACUCUGUUAUUAGGGAAGAACAAAUGUGUAAGUAACUAUGCACGUAUUGACGGUACCUAAUAAGAAAGCAACGGCUAACUACGUG
rnacentral:rRNA from 1 species